CUUAGUUGGGCACUCUAAGGAGACUGCCGGUGUUAAACCGGAGAAGUGGGGAUGACGUCAAGUCCUCAUGGCCCUUAUGUCCAGGGCUACACACGUGCUACAAUGGCCGGUACAAAGGGCUGCAAGACCGUGAGGUUGAGCGAAUCCCAGAAAGCCGGUCUCAGUUCGGAUUGGAGUCUGCAACUCGACUCCAUGAAGUUGGAAUCGCUAGUAAUCGCGGAUCAGCAUGCCGCGGUGAAUACGUUCCCGGGCCUU
rnacentral:rRNA from 1 species